GUACAUCUCCGAUUUACUCUCAAACACUAAACUCAGUCUAACUCUUUUUCUGCUUUUGUUUUUCAGGACUUCCAGGAAAUAAACCUCAGGGAGUCAGAUUUCAGACUAAACGUCACUUUGUUCGGAGCUUUCAGAUGGAUUUCCAGGAAACAAGGAGUCAGAUUUCAGACUUUACAUCACUUUGGACCUUUCAGAUAGAUCUCAAGGAAACAAACCUCAGGGAGUCAGAAGUCAGACUUGAUAUCACUUUAUUUGGAGCUUUUAGAUGGUAAG